UACGUAGGGUGCGAGCGUUAAUCGGAAUUACUGGGCGUAAAGCGUGCGCAGGCGGCUUUGCAAGACAGAUGUGAAAUCCCCGGGCUCAACCUGGGAACUGCAUUUGUGACUGCAAGGCUAGAGUACGGCAGAGGGGGAUGGAAUUCCGCGUGUAGCAAUGAAAUGCGUAGAUAUGCGGAGGAACACCAAUGGCGAAGGCAAUCCCCUGGGCCUGUACUGACGCUCAUGCACGAAAGCGUGGGGAGCAAACAGG
rnacentral:rRNA from 1 species